GGUGCUAAGUGGCAAGAGAGCAGAUAUCCCGAGCCAGUGGAAAGGAAAGUCAUGUGGAAGGCUUGGUGAUGUGUCAACAGUUUUGGCAGCGGAUUGAAAGGAUUAUGAAGCUGUCAAGUCCUUGUGUGGAGUGCUGAGAGUCAUGGAUAAUGAGAGAUAUCCCUAAUAGGCUUCCUCUACCACAUCAUGAUGUUUGCCGAGGCUUAGAUCAGGCAGGAGAUGGAAAACAUGUGUACGAGUUUAUCGACAUGAUCAACCAAAGGUGUGAUUAUCAGAUAAAUAAGGAGUUGCAUAUAUACCUGUUCGUCAUAUAUUGUUGUGUUUUAAGUGCAAUUGUUAUGCUAAAUCAAUUGCAACUAUAUUGACUGUCUACUAUCUAAACCCGAAAUCCCAAUACAACAUCCUUGGGAUAGGUAUGGACGAGGAACUUCUUGCUACCCUGUGCAAUGUUCCUGAUCUGAGAGUCCUUGCCUAGUAUCUGGAAGAGGUGAGUUAAUUUUAUCAAGUCGAGUAAAUAAUUGGGCAGCUUCGGUGACCAGCCAGUUGUAGUAAGCAAAGCAAAAAAUGAAUCCAAGUAUUUUAAGAUAUGGA
rnacentral:lncRNA from 1 species